UACGGGGGGGGCAAGCGUUGUUCGGAAUUACUGGGCGUAAAGGGCUCGUAGGUGGCCAACUAAGUCAGACGUGAAAUCCCUCGGCUUAACCGGGGAACUGCGUCUGAUACUGGAUGGCUUGAGUUUGGGAGAGGGACGCGGAAUUCCAGGUGUAGCGGUGAAAUGCGUAGAGAUGUGGAGGAACACCGAUGGCGAAGGCAGCCUCCUGGGCCAGCACUGACGCUCAUGCACGAAAGCGUGGGGAGCAAACAGG
rnacentral:rRNA from 1 species